rnacentral:rRNA from 1 species
UACGUAGGGUGCGAGCGUUAAUCGGAAUUACUGGGCGUAAAGCGUGCGCAGGCGGUUUUUUAAGCCAGAUGUGAAAUCCCCGGGCUUAACCUGGGAACUGCAUUUGGAACUGGAAGACUAGAGUACGGCAGAGGGGGGUAGAAUUCCACGUGUAGCAGUGAAAUGCGUAGAUAUGUGGAGGAAGACCGAUGGCGAAGGCAGCCCCCUGUGUCGAUACUUUCUCUCAUGCACGAAAGCGUGGGGAGCAAACAGG